AGAACGAACGCUGGCGGCAGGCCUCAAACAUGCAAGUCUAGGGGGGCGUAGCAAUACGUCACCGGCGGACGGGUGCGUAACACGUGGGAAUGUACUUAUUGGUUCGGAACAACUCAGGGAAACUUGAGCUAAUACCGAAUGUGCCCGUAAGGGGAAAGAUUUAUCGCCAAUAAAUCAGCCCGCGUCCGAUUAGCUAGUUGGUGGGGUAAAGGCUCACCAAGGCGACGAUCGGUAGCUGUUCUGAGAGGAAGAUCAGCCACACUGGGACUGAGACACGGCCCAGACUCCUACGGGAGGCAGCAGUUGGGAAUCUUGGACAAUGGGGGAAACCCUGAUCCAGCCAUGCCGCGUGAGUGAUGAAGGCCUUAGGGUUGUAAAACUCGUUUCGGCGGGGACGAUAAUGACGGUACCCGCAGAAGAAGCUCCGGCUAACUUCGUGCCAGCAGCCGC
rnacentral:rRNA from 1 species